rnacentral:rRNA from 1 species
UAACGCGUAUGCAACCUACCUUUUACUGGGGGAUAGCCCGGAGAAAUCUGGAUUAAUACCCCAUGGUACCUAGAGGUCGAAUGAUUUUUAGUUUAAAGAUUUAUCGGUAAGAGAUGGGCAUGCGUCUGAUUAGCUAGUUGGCGGGGUAACGGCCCACCAAGGCGACGAUCAGUAGGGGUUCUGAGAGGAAGGUCCCCCACACUGGCACUGAGAUACGGGCCAGACUCCUACGGGAGGCAGCAGUAGGGAAUAUUGGGCAAUGGUCGCAAGACUGACCCAGCCAUGCCGCGUGCAGGAAGACGGCCCUCUGGGUUGUAAACUGCUUUUAUCUGGGAAGAAAAAGUCCAUGCGUGGAAAAUUGCCGGUACCAGAUGAAUAAGCACCGGCUAACUCCGUGCCAGCAGCCGCGGUAAUACGGAGGGUGCAAGCGUUGUCCGGAUUUAUUGGGUUUAAAGGGUGCGUAGGCGGCUGAAUAAGUCAGCGGUGAAAGACUUCGGCUUAACCGGAGCAGUGCCGUUGAUACUGUUUAGCUUGAGUGUUGGAGGGGUACAUGGAAUUGAUGGUGUAGCGGUGAAAUGCAUAGAUACCAUCAGGAACACCGAUAGCGAAGGCAUUGUACUGGCCAACAACUGACGCUGAGGCACGAAAGUGUGGGGAUCGAACAGGAUUAGAUACCCUGGUAGUCCACACCGUAAACGAUGAUUACUCGCUGUUAUGGGGUAAGCUGUAGCGGCCAAGCGAAAGCGUUAAGUAAUCCACCUGGGGAGUACGCCGGCAACGNUGAAACUCCAAGGAAUUGACCGGGGGUCCGCCCAAGCGG